GGAGAGAUGGUCGAGUUGGUUUAAGGCACCGGUCUUGAAAACCGGCGUACCUUUACGGGUACCUAGGGUUCAAAUCCCUAUCUCUCCACCA
rnacentral:tRNA from 1 species